GAUGAAGAACGAAGUGAAAUGCGAUAAGUAAUGUGAAUUGCAGAAUUCAGUGAAUCAUCGAAUCUUUGAACGCACAUUGCGCCCGCCAGUAUUCUGGCGAGCAUGCCUGUUCGAGCGUCAUUUCAACCAUCAAGCCCCAGGCAUGUGUUGGAGCCCUGCGGCUGCCGCAGCCUCCCAAAACCAGUGGCGGGCUCGCUAUCACACCGAGUGCAGUAGUUUACUCUUCGCUCAGGGCGUGUGGCGGGUGCUAGCCGUGAAACCCCCAACUUCUCAAGGUUGACCUCGGAUCAGGUAGGAAUACCCGCUGAACUUAAGCAUAUCAAUAAGCGGAGGA
rnacentral:misc_RNA from 1 species